CAUGCAGGAGAUCUGGUGCAGGAGGACCUUGUGUUCUGCGUUAGAUUAGACUACACAGCAAGAGCUGUGUAUCUUUUAAAAGCAUAUUUUUUUUAAAACUCUGGAAUUAAAAAUGGACAAAUAAAACAAAGAAGAGAUAGAAGCUGAUGAUCCUGUGUAGCUAGGAGGAAAAUGGGACUGCUUAAGGAUAGCCAUAUUCUGGCCUAAAAACUCAGGAAGUACAGGAAGAAAAAAGUCUAUAUAUAUAUUACCUUCUGUUUUAGCCCAGCCAUCGGACAUUCUGACAGUCUCUGCCUGAAAGCUACUAUCCCACCUGGGGAGCUAAACAAAAGCUCUCUGCAAAUUGUCACCUCUCCUCUCCUGGAAGUCCACCCACUGAGAUAUGAAAACACCCAUUGGCUGAAGAUUUCCAAGUUGCUGGGGACUUUGGUGCCUGACGAAAGCUGCAGUGUUUACUUUAUGUAAACAUCAUGGAACCUAGAGACUCGCUUUUGCUUUCGCAGUACUAUUAUAAAACCCUGCCCCCUCUGAUUAACGAUUGAACCUUGAUAGGACUAUUUUGACUUGUUCCGUUGUUUUUCUUGCAAUUCUAAACCUUUCUUUCAGAUCCCUGUUCCUUCUCCUGAGAGACCCCAGUUCUUGAAACUGCAGGCAGUUUCAUAUACAUAAGAGACUAUAUGUACCUGGAUGCAUCCUGCGGGACCUGAGAGACAUUCAAGGACUAUUCUGAGAUCUCCUGGACAGCUCUUGGUUCGCCUACGCAGAGACUCAAGGUCUUCUUAUGAGUCUCACAUUUAAAACUCCUCUCAAUCAACCUCACUCGGCUCGACAGUCUCUAGUUUGGCUUAGAUCUUGUUGUCUUGCUGGCAGCUGCAAUAAAUGUAACUAAUUACAAUUGUGAU